rnacentral:rRNA from 1 species
CAGCAGCCGCGGUAAUACGUAGGGUGCAAGCGUUAAUCGGAAUUACUGGGCGUAAAGCGUGCGCAGGCGGUUUUGUAAGUCUGUCGUGAAAUCCCCGGGCUCAACCUGGGAAUGGCGAUGGAGACUGCAAGGCUAGAAUCUGGCAGAGGGGGGUAGAAUUCCACGUGUAGCAGUGAAAUGCGUAGAUAUGUGGAGGAACACCGAUGGCGAAGGCAGCCCCCUGGGCUAAGAUUGACGCUCAUGCACGAAAGCGUGGGGAGCAAACAGGAUUAGAUACCCCCGUAGUCCCUGUCUCUUAUAA